GGGCCGGUGCUGUAUCCACUGCGCCACCUAGCUGCCCCCCAUCUUUGUCAUUUUUAAAUCUUGCCACAUCUUGGGAAGAGUUUUGUUGAGUCUGAUGGGGUGCUUGUUAAUAUUUGAAUUGCUUCCUCUCAGCUGCUUGCAAGAUUCUCUCUUUGAUAAGAACUUGGCAGAGGUCAACUUAGGACUCCUCUUUAUCAUAACCCUCUGUAUUCUAUUGAAUUGCUCUGCUCUCUGUUUCUAAUACCUUCAGGCAAUUUUCUUGUGUGAUUUCCUGGAAUACGGUAUUCACAGUCUUUGUUCCUUAGUAUUUUUCUGGGAGACCAGUAAUUCUCAGAUUGCUUCACCAAACUCUGGCCUCUCCCUCUUCUGUAUUUUGGUUUGCCAUUUCUAAUUUUGUUCUGUUGUUUGUUCUUGUGAUGCCACUUUUUUGUUCUGCCUGAGUUACUUUAAUUCUCAGAAUUUCUGUUACUUCAUUAAUAUUUUCCAUCAUCUUUUCUAUGUUGUCUUAUCUCAUGUUUAUCUUUGAUUCUUUCUUCAUUUAUCUUGAUUUCAACCUUAUAUAUGCCAGAUACUCCUUUACAUCUCUUUGUGAUGUAAUGGGGGAUUGGUAAAUGGGAGUCCCAUCCUCAAAGCUCUGCCUGCAGCAUACCCAUGUGGAGAACGGGCAUGAAGAAUGAAAAGGUCCUGCUCUUCAACUUCAGAGCAUGUCUCAAUGUAGUAAGACUGAGGAAGAGGUGGAGUGACAACAGACCAUCAUCAGAUCAAGGAAUUCCAGAGUUCUUGAACAUGGAAGUGGUGCACUGUGGGUGAUGUUGGUACUAAGGAUAUGACCAUUUCUUUGUGUGGCUGAAGUGGAGUGGAGGUGUCAGUCCUGGGAAAUGAGCAAAUCAAGGAACUAGGAGUUACUGCAGAUGCUCCUGACUCCCAGCUUCUAGGGAGAAGAUGAAGACGCCCAUUCCGCUUCAGGUUGCUGAAGGGAAAGGACUCUGGGAAGAAGCCAACAUGAGUCUCCAUCACAUCCCUCGUCCCAGCUUAUGACACUAGAGACUUGGGAGAACUUUUCCGUGGGUGAGAUCUGGGACUUUUACUCUUGGUUGAGCUGAGUUACCUUGCUCCCAAUGGGAGAGUUCCUGCACUUUUGUAUCGGCUGACAGCUACGCCAGAAAGGAACAGCAGGAGGACUCUGUGAAAGAAGAGAAGGACCUCCAGGAGCCACGACCCGUGAGCCCCAUGUUUGCCGUGGGCGUUCUCUCUCCAGGUGCCUCACCUUCACUUGUACUUUGGGUUUGUUCCCAUUCUCCCCGUGGUCCCAGUGAAUAUCUGUGGGAGAAUGUGCUUCAGACUUUUGGGGUGGGGAUUGUUCUUUGUAUCAACUGUUUGCCAUUUCAGUAAAGAUCUUCCCCUGAAAGGCAGUUGAAGCUACUGGCUGAUAAUCAGUAGGGAGUGCAUGAGAUGGGAGCUCAUUAAUAACAGGACCAGAAAACUCUGGCUCUAAAGGGAGGAGCACCUACUGUUAAGGGACUCAACCUGCCGGUAUCAGUGGGGGUGGAGGGAGUAGUCCUAGAAGUCACUUAACUUCUCAGUAGGCCUCAGGCAGCUUUUUAAGGCCACAUGUUGUAGAACAGUUAUUUAUCUGCAUUGGUAGAGGGGGUAGAGGAAGCACUGUGAGCUCCCUAAACCUAAUGAAAUAAAAAAUCUGGAUGAAAAUGGAAAAUUGUAUUCAUAGACAGAGCUUUAAAGGCAAUUAGAACAUAGAAGGAUCUCAGAGUUAAGAGGGAGCUUAGAAUUUGGAAUAUCAGGAGCCUUAGAACAGGGGAUGUCAGAGCUGGGAGGGGCCUGAGAACAGGGAAUGUUUGAGCUGGGAAGGCCUUAGAACACAGAAUAUUACAACUGUAAAUUACUUUGGAAAAUGAGAACCUAGAGUGAGGUGUGGAUUGUAACCUCCAUCCCAAUUAAUUUACUCACAGAGGGAAGACGCCUUAACUGAACUGAUUGACCUGGAACCUAGGCAUUAAGGCAUUUUCCUAUAACUUCAUCCCACUAUAUGGACAAGCCCUUAACCAUUUUGAAAGGGCCAUGGGACUUGAUGCCACUGGAUGAAAGGCAGAUGACCUCAUGCAGGAAAUAUGUUGUUAUUGGUUGAGAAAACCAAGUUCUGUCUCUUGGGCUGAGUGUGAAAAAUGGGGAGUUGGUUUAGUGGUGAGAAGUCAGUGAUGGAGGACUCUAAAUUCAGGAGCUGAGAAUUUUAGAUCUUUGAGAGGGAGUCACAUAAGGAUCCCUGUGGGCUGCAUAUUGACUUAGGAAAAAACACAUAUCGAUUUAGAUAUAA